rnacentral:rRNA from 1 species
AAUCAACGCUGGCGGCGUGCCUAACACAUGCAAGUCGAACGAGAAAGGGUAGCAAUACCUGAGUAAAGUGGCGACCGGGUGAGUAACACGUGACUAACCUGCUCUUGAAUGGGGAAUAACCUCGGGAAACCGGGGCUAAUACCGCAUAACGUCCAGAGGCUGAGAUGCCAUUGGACCAAAGGAGCAAUUCGUUUAAGGAGGGGGUCGCGGUUGAUUAGCUAGUUGGAGGGGUAAUGGCCCACCAAGGCGAUGAUCAAUAGCCGGCCUGAGAGGGCGCACGGCCACACUGGAACUGAAACACGGUCCAGACUCCUACGGGAGGCAGCAGUGGGGAAUUUUGCGCAAUGGGGGAAACCCUGACGCAGCAACGCCGCGUGAAGGAUGAAGGUCUUUGGAUUGUAAACUUCUUUCGUCCGGGAAGAUAAUGACGGUACCGGAAUAAGAAGCCCCGGCUAACUUCGUGCCAGCCGCCGCAGUAAAAC